GUUUUCGACUGCAUGGCAGAAGGUGAAGACUGGACAUGCAGAAGCUUUCUUUCUGUUGUGUUCCUGAGAGCCAUCAACAAUGCCCUAAUGGCUGGUGUAUGAUCUAGAUUCAGAUGUUUCAGUUCAGCAUAUCACAGCUUACCAGUCUGAUGUUUCCUCUUGUUUUCCAAGUUCCUAGUCUGGUAUCCUUGGUUCCUGGCCAAAUUUUUUUUCUUGUUCUGCAGAUUCCUUCAGCACUGCUUCACUUCAUUUACACCUGAGGACUCUUCUGCCUGUUCCUUGCUAUGUACUGACUGAUUUGGUCUCUA